rnacentral:tRNA from 1 species
GCAGUCGUAGCUCAGCUGGAUAGAGUACCUGACUACGAAUCAGGUGGUCGCAGGUUCGAAUCCUGCCGUCUGCACCA